rnacentral:rRNA from 1 species
AGAACGAACGCUGGCGGCGGGGUUUAGGCAUGCAAGUCGAGCGAGAAAGCGCAGGCUGAGUACAGCGGCGUAAGGGUGAGUAACAGGUAGUUAACGUACCGGGCAGACGCGAAUAAUUUCCCGAAAGGGAUUGUAAUGCGCGAUGAGAUCACGGGCAUCACGGGGCUUGGGAUCAAAGGUCGGGGAUCCUUCGGGACCUGGCGCU